AUGUGCCGCCUGAUCGCAGCCCACCGCCCAGGCUUUUGGUCAGGCUGCAGCGGUGCUUUCCAAGGGUGCCAUCGGCUUGCCUGCUGGGGUCGUGGGGCGGUCAACCUAGAGCAUCCCCUUCGGAGCUUCGGAAACUGGGGGGGGGGGGGGGGGUUGACACCCCGCGGUGAAGUUCUAGGUGAUCUUGGAACACAACGCAAAAGCCUCUUCCGCACCGUCCCCUGCACCACCAAGCCCGCAAGCUAGAAGGGGGCUGCUCUGGUCUAACCAGUGUUUCACCACCCGUCCGAGGGGUCCGCUCCCCUGUCCCCAUUGCCCACUGUGGAGUGUGGCACUUUUCACCUCGACUGGGACUGAUGAGAAGCCAGUGUCUUCACGGUUUCUUCGCCAGUGUGUACUGAGUGCCUGCAGGCGGCCAGCGCGUGCUCCUGGCCUAGGUGUCUGCCAGGCUCAGCCUCUCAAAAAGCCACUGCAACCUGUGCGCCUCGACCCCAGAGACAUUUCCAGAACCCUCAGAAGGACUCCAUGGCCACUCAUCUUCAUCCACUUACGAAGUGGCAGCUAUAAAGGCUCCAUGACCACGCUUUUAGAAUGAUUGCAAAAAUCUUUUCAUGGGACCUGUCGUAGAAUUGACAGGUGAGUCCAAACGGCCACCAACCCUAAUCUGAGUGUCAACUAAAAGGUUUAUCUACCCAAAACUGCCCUUCCCUACCUCUGCUGGCUGACAUCAACUGGAAAACAACAAUUAUCUCACAAGUCACUAGACCGAAUCAUCAGAGCUGAAAGCCAUAGCAGAGAAGCCAGAAACCCACAUUUCAUGUCAGCUCUGUUUGAAAUAUUAGUCACUCACUUUCAAGAUAUUUUACAUGCUCUAGAAGGCAAGGAAGAAGAGUUCGUAAGCCACAGAAUGUCCCCCGGUCAUCAGUUCAUCGCUGUGGUCUGGGUCGGAGGUGACAGGAAGGUGUCAAUGCUGGCACCAAGGAUUCCUCGCCUGAGAGAGGUGCUGGAUCUGGAGUUGUUCCCACUUCUCAGAGUUACUGAGGAUCAGGCUGCCGCCGACCAUCUUGCCCAAGUGUCGCGUUUCUCCUGGCCGUCUAAGCAGGAAUGGCACUGCCAGGGCCCAUCAUAGCUCCAUUGUUCACGUUCUGAGUACCUGCCAGGGAUUUCCAAAGCAGCUGACCAUCUGACACUUCCCCCAGCAGCACGCGAGGCUUCCGAUUUCUCCACAUCCUCAUCAACACUUUUAUUUGCCAUUUUGAAAAAAAUCAUACCAUCCUAAUAGGCGUGAAGUGAUAUCUCAUGACGGCUUUAAUCUACGUGUUCCCAACGGCUAGCACUGCUGAGCUUCAGGCGCUUAGUGGCCACUUCUGUUUCUCCUCCAGAGAAACGUCUGAGUGUUUUGCUCACUUCUGGUUGUUGAACUUUCCACUCUCCAGAUGCAGGUGUUCUUUGUCUAGGUCCCGGAUGUAAGUCCCUGCUGGAUAUCAACUUCUCAAUAUGUCCUCCGUUUCUGUGGGCUGUUGCUGCAUUUCCUUGGGGCUAUUCUUUGAAGUGUGAAUUUUUAAAUUUUUAAUGAAACAAAGUUUCUGUAUUUCCUUUUACUGUUUGAACUUUGGGCUUCAUAUUGUAAAAAUUUUGCGUAAUUCAGCGUCACAAAGAUUGAUGAAUAAUGGGCCUUAUUUUUUUAAGUGAUUUUUAGUGUGUGAUGUUGGAAACCGGGAAUAUUGAAACAACUGGCUGUGAGUCUGUGGCCAAAGUUUCCCACUUGUAUAAGCUGCUGGGCCAGCCCUUUCAACACCUCAUCUGCUCAGCUCUGGGCACUGGAUGGCAAAUGUUUGCCAAGGGAGUGCAUUUGGAGUGUGUAUACACUUUGGACUCAGUAGGCCAACAAUGGAAAGUAGUUUUUCAUUCACUUGAAAAUAUUUCCUAAGAACCUCCUCCCAUGUGCUUGGAAGGGCUCCACGCUCUCAGAAUAUAGAAUCAAGGAAGCCAGGCAAGGUUGGAAAAAUAAGCAGGCAGACAGACAGGGAGAGCACACAGGAUACGCAUCACAUGCAUGCUUCUGUCAAGGAUUCACAACCAGCAAGGAGAGCGGCAGAGAGGACACAGUGCAAAGGCUCCAGUUCGGACGGGCAAAGGCAUAGGUCAUGCUGGGAACACAAAGAAAUCGAAUGUGGCUGGAGCUCAGCGGGGCUCUGUGGCUGAACUCCCUAGAGAGCACAGUCUGCGUGAAAGGUUAGGUGGCACCUCUUGGUAGGGAAGUGAAAUCGCAGAGGAGAUUGAGAGAACAAAGGAAGGGAGUCAGGAAAAGAGGAGAGACAGCUGCCAUCAUCUACCACGCAGCAAGGUUUCCAUCCAUGACGGGCCACAUUGCCAUGGGCCCAUACGCUUAAAAUGGAGAGAGGAGUUCCUACUCCCGGGAGUCAUCAAAGCCCUUGUGAUGUGACCGCACGAUGCAUCACCCACAUGUUUGUGCUGAUGUUGGUGUGAGCGAACUUGCUGCCCUGCCAGUUGUAUAAAAGUAUAGCACAUCCAGUUAGUCAUACUGGGUAUAGCGCAGGCUACACCACCAAAGUGUGUGUAUGCACACUCUAUGAUGUUUGCACAAUGCAAUUGCCUAACAGCGCAUCUCUCAGCUAAGCGAAGCAUGACUACAUAAGGAAGUGUGCUACACAGCUGGCCAUCGCCACCAGAGUCUGCAGAGGCACCAUCGUGUGGUAGGAGCCAGUACUGAGGCCUUACUGAAGAGGCUGGGAAAAACCCGAGAGAGAAGUGCUGGUGUCUGGUCUUCAGGGAAGCAGUGGAAUGCUUCAGAAGCUCCAUUCAUCUGUCGAGGGUGGGAGGAAGAAUACUGGUAUGCUAGGAAGACAGAAAAGUGGUUAGCAGGCUGCUUCCCCCCUUUGGGCAGAGGUCACUUUUCAGUACUGCUGGGUUGCAUGGGAGUGGUCACCAAGUAGGGGUCUGGACAGUAUCAGAGAACUCCCAGGGGGCAAAGUCAAAGGCAUAUGCCAGGAAGGGAGGCACUCUUGGGCAAGACCCGAGACAGCAGGAAAGACGGAGCAGCAGUCGCAGUGAGCUCCUCAAUCUGGGGCAGUGACAGCAUAGCAGCAACCUGGCUCCAUGAACACAGGAGCAGUGCAAACCAUUGCCAGGCUUGUCUAGAAAGUGACCCGUUAUCAUCGAGCUGAUGCGGUACACACAAUGGGUUUAGAGCAGUAGGCAAGGGGAAGAGUAAGACAAGGAUGUGGUAAGAGAGUGGCAGGGCCAGCCCAAUGCACUGCUUCGCAAGUCAAGAUCAAGAAUAUAAAAUAAAGGCUGGUGCUGUGGUAGAGUGGGUUAAGCAACUGCCUGCACUGCUGGCAUCACACAAGGCUGCCAGUUCGAGUCCCGGCUGCCCCACUUCCAAUCCAGGUCCCUGCUAAUGUGCCUGAAAAGGCAGCAGAGGCCCAAGUCUUUGGGCCCCUGAACCCACAUGGGAGGCCCAGAAAAAGCUCCUGGCUCCUGGCUUCAGCCUGGCCCAGUCCUGGCUGGUGCAACCAUCUGGGGAGUAAACCAGCAGAUGGAAGAUCCCUCUCUGCCUCUCUUCCUCUCUCUCUCUCUGUAACUCUGCCUUUCAAAUAAAUAAAUCUUUUAAAAAAAGAAUAUAAAAUUUAUUCCAGUUUUGAACUUAUUCUAAGAACAAUCCAAACCCACUGAAGGCUCUUUUUGAUUUUUAAGGGACAUCCAUUACGAUUUGUUUUUUUGAAGAGCAGUUCUGCAAGCUAUAGGAAUUGCAUAGUUCU